ensembl:lncRNA
CCCAUCCCAAAGGGUAAAGUUGUUAUAUUGAAGAGUUUAUUCACUAUAUGUUGGAUUGGUCCUCGAUCUUGAUUUAAGUCACACAGCUAGAGGUGAUAGAUUAAUAACUACCAUUAAUUGUCAUUCUUUAAGAGGUAUUUGAUGCUACGGUGUUGCGGAUUGUAUGACUUGGGCUAAGGUUUCCCACCUCCAACGUCAUUUCUGCCUCCUCUAUGUUGAGAGCCACAUGCUGUGAGAUAAAGAGCCAACAAUAUGGUGGAGAAAUAAGCAAGCAGAGACCAAGGGGACUUGGAAUGCACCGCACAGUGACCAGGGUCAGGCAGAUGCUGACUCACAGCAAGAAAACAGAGCAUGCCAUCUGCCAUGAGCUCAUUAUGAGGGAUGAGUGGAGUCUGGCACCUGCUCUUGGACCUCCAGAACUAUGCCAGAAGACCAUAUUUCUCUGAAAGAUGUUGAACUAGGACUUCAUACCCAGCUUUGAACAACUAACCUAAGCUAAUUCAAAUACUACUUUA